rnacentral:tRNA from 1 species
GGGCGUGGCCAAGUGGUAAGGCAACGGGUUUUGGUCCCGUUACUCGGAGGUUCGAAUCCUUCCGUCCCA